UACGGAGGGUGCAAGCGUUAUCCGGAUUCACUGGGUUUAAAGGGUGCGUAGGUGGGCAGUUAAGUCAGUGGUGAAAUCUCCGGGCUCAACCCGGAAACUGCCAUUGAUACUAUCUGUCUUGAAUAUCGUGGAGGUAAGCGGAAUAUGUCAUGUAGCGGUGAAAUGCUUAGAUAUGACAUAGAACACCAAUUGCGAAGGCAGCUUACUACCCGAAUAUUGACACUGAGGCACGAAAGCGUGGGGAGCAAGCAGG
rnacentral:rRNA from 1 species